AACAUUUCAUCCUUUCUCUUUUAAUAUGGAUCCAACGCCCAAUUAGAACAAAGUUAAAGACAAAAAAGAACAGAAAAUUAUAUUAUAAUAAACCAUUAAAUAUCCACAAAUUAGCCAUUAACUUGAAACUCUGCAUGCAAUUUGAAUGUUACCACAGUAAAUUCAAUUUACCAGACGUGCAAUGAAUUUACCGGUAAACAAUGCUAUCUCGACCUGUGAGUCACUCUUUUUUUCCAAUCCCAUUAAAGCUGUUGCAGUAAAGUAUCUUUUUCAAUUUGCCUAAAAACCUUUCUUUUCAAUAUUCCCUUUCCACCGACAGAUAAAAUGAUGUUAAAGUACCGGUGAAACUUAAUGCUUUACACCUCAAAGUAUCUCAAACUCUUAGUAAGAUGUGAAAAAAGAUAAUCUUUCUAACCCACUCUUUAUCUCAAGCCGGCAAUCCUAUUAAAAGUGAUUACAAAUUGGUCUGUUUAAAUUGAAGCGGCUUUCCUAAUGAAUCAAUUUCAUUUCACUUUAACAAUUGUUGAAAAAAUUCUGAUGACAAUCAGGUUAAAUUAUAUUUUGUAACAAAAAGUCGUCUAAUUGUAUUGCUAUGUUUUGUCUGUAAGCUUACCCAUUAACAUGGUUACCAUAAUAUGGAUCAGGUUAAAUGCACUUUUAUACAAUUUUCAAAUUAACUUGUCUACAAAUUUUAAUAUAACUAACCAAUUGUCUACCCAGAAAAGGCUAAAAUUCAAAUUUAAAUCUAAUCCUCUCUUUCUUUCUCUCUUUUCUUCUCCGAGCUGACGUUGACGAAAUUUUCUCAAGCAAAAAGAAAACUUGAAACUUGAUUCAACAACAAUGCUCAGGUCAUUGCUAAGCACCAUGAAAAAGUCUGAAUUACACUGGAAGAAAAAGGAGAAAGAUAAAUUCCAUUCCGGAAAAGAAGUGGUUGAAAGAAUAGAGAAGGCACGGUUUUUACAGAACAAGAGGGAACACAAACAAAAAAAGAGAGAGAAAAACGAAGAGAGCAUCUUCCAGCAAAAAGAGUGCUCUGCCAUCAUCAUCAUCAUCAUCCUCUUUAUCUCUGAAUAAUGACCGCCCUGUUUCAAAGUCUAUCAAAAAUUUUUUUAGGUUGAGUCAGGUUUGAGUAAAGUCUGGUGAAGUUUAACUCUAAAAAGUUGAUCAGCCCAAAUGAAUGGAUAGACAAGGGUUAGGUUGAAAGAUGAAAAAGGCAAAAUAAGAAGAAGAAGAAAAACGAAAGAAAAAAGAAAGAAGAGAAAGAAUAGAACUGUGAUGAGUGUAACUAAAUUGACAGGAAGCCUGUAAUGAUAUUGCGUUUUGAUGCUUUACCAGUGCACGAGACUGUAACGAUCAGCGUUUGACUGUGUAUUUGUGUGUGUGAUCCACAAAACAACAUCAACUGUUUAAAGGCAAUCUUGUUGAUCAAAAAGCAAGAGACCGUAUACAGUGAGAUUGUUUUUUUUCUUACCCAUCAUUAUUGUUAUUUGUAUUCACAUUUAUCUGUCUGACUUCAUGUGCAUGUAACUAUCUGUUUUCAUCCUCAACUACUCAAUCUCAUCCAUUAACCAUCACCAGCAUCUUUCACUUUGAUCAUGAAUUUUUGUUUCCUUUCACUCUUUAACUUUGUAUCUUCCUUGAACAAUAUUGAUUUGCUUUUACAGCUCACAGAUUAUGAAUAAUUUUGAUUGAAGGGUUUGUCUUUUCAGACAUUCAGACUGGUCACCAGUUUUUCAGACUAAUGACUAAUUUCACCAUCAACAUUAUCAUCAUCAUUAAAUCAUUAUCAUUAAUAAAAAUAGCUAUUAGUGUUACAGACAACAAUUUAUGACAAAAAUGUCGAUCAUCAUCCGUCUGUCCUUCAUCAGCUGUCAACAUUGUGAAACUCUAGAUUCAAGUGAAUAACCAGAUAAUUGGUUCCCUUCAUUUACCUUUACCUUUAUUGCAACCAUUAUUAAUAUUAAUAGUACACCCAACUUAAAUGAUUUCAACAUGAAGAAACAACUAACCAAGAAAAAACAACAAAAGUAAAACAAAAAACAAAACCAUGAGAAGAAGAAGAAAAAUCAAUACAAUUUCUUCGAUUCCUUCGAUUUAAUGUUGGGACAAUUAUGAUGAUGAUUAUAUGGUUUAUAUGAUGUUUGGUGAAUAAUUAAGGUAAAAAUGUUGACUCCUUGAAAGGUAAAAUGUUUCCCUCUCACCAAUCUCAUAGGAACCACAAAAAAGUGUAUUACAUCACAACUCCGCCUUACUUGGGUUAACCUUUUAUUGGUGAACAGCAAAUAUUGAAAUUUAAAAACAAGACUCUGGUUAUGACUUUUAUUGAAAAACGUCAAUGAUUACCUUUCCUUGGGAUUGGCCAGAAUUAACCUGAAAUUGAAUUGUGUUCUGAUUGAUUUAUUUGCACUUUUCCAUGUUAAUGUAAAGAUGAUAGACGAUCAACUCUUUUUAUUGAUGAUAGGACUUUCAAGGAUUUUAUUCACGUUAUCAUCACAGACACAAUAAAAUAGCCAAAAUAUGCAGACGGACAAGUUGAUUGAUGAUCAGUGAUUUAAAUUAAAAAAUGACCCUGACAAGUGUUUACCAAUCAACUGCGAUUGUUGAGACUAGAGUCCAAUAUUGAGUAUAAAAAAUGAUCCUGUUUGUGUUUUCAUUUUUCAUUAACUGAAACCAGAAACAAGUAAAUGAAAAGCAACAAUCAAAACCCAGAUUCCGCUUGAUUAAUGGCUAAUCAAAUUAUCCUCUCACUAUAAUUGACCAUUUUUCAUCACUGCAUUCAAAUAUUAUAAUGUUAAUCGCUUUCCACUUAUUAUUUCAAGUCAUGGACCAUUCAACAUGAACAUUGAGAUGGUUUCAUCUAUCUAUCAGAAUUGGCAGAUGAAAGUUUCAAAGGCAAAUAAAUGUUCAUCAAAUAAAAACAUUUAUCUGUACAUGAAGCGUGUCUCAACAAUCAUUGUAACCUUAUCUUCAUUUAAUGUUAAUCUGUUUAUGGUUGUGAUUAUUUAACCAAAAAAA